UCCCGGGCCUUGUACACACCGCCCGUCACACCAUGGGAGUCUAUUGCACCAGAAGUAGGUAGCCUAACGAAAGAGGGCGCUUACCACGGUGUGGUCGAUGACUGGGGUGAAGUCGUAACAAGGUAGCCGUAGGGGAACCUGCGGCUGGAUCACCUCCUUAA
rnacentral:rRNA from 1 species